rnacentral:rRNA from 1 species
UGAGUAACCUGCCCUUAACUCUGGGAUAAGCCUGGGAAACUGGGUCUAAUACCGGAUAUGACUCCUCAUCGCAUGGUGGGGGGGGUUGGAAAGAUUUUAUCGGCUGGGGAUGGGCCCGCGGCCUAUCAGCUUGUUGGUGGGGUAGUGGCCUACCAAGGCGACGACGGGUAGCCGGCCUGAGAGGGUGACCGGCCACACUGGGACUGAGACACGGCCCAGACCUCCGUACGGGAGCAG